AAUGUUUACUCUUCUUUCUUCUCCUAACUCUACUCUCAUUUGCAACAUCAACACCAUCAAGUUUCAUCAAAACCUCAUGUGCACCACACAAUACCCUACACUUUGUGUUUUUCAAUCUCUAUCUGUCUAUGCAUCACAAGUCCAACAAGAUCAACAGUUAGUCAAGCUUAUCUUAGUCUCAACAAAUCAAUCCACAAAAGGCUUUGUUACAAUGUGCAAAGCGUCAAAAAUCUUAAAACCAUCAGAAUGCUGCUCUUCAUGAUUGUGCUGAGAAAUCAAGUGAUAGUGUUGAUAGGCUUAGCCGUUCAUUGAAAGAGCUUCACUCUGCAAGAUCAACGGUCAGGAUUCAAUUGGCAUAUAAGCAAGUGGGACAUGGGUUAGCUCAGCUUUGACAGAUGAGAGCACUUGUGGGAUGGAUUUAGUGGAAAAGCACUUGAUGGAAAAAUCAAGCUUCUAUUAGAUCUAAGAAUGGUUAAUGUUGCUCAAGUUACUAGUAAAUGCUCUUUACUUACUUAUCAAUAUGCUGCUAAACACUAGUAAAGAUCAAACACUAGGAAUCAAAGGUUUGCUUUUAGGUGUGGAGAUGCCUUUAAUGUUGUUGGUUUUUUUUUGUUUUAAUUUAUGUGGUGUGUAAUGUGUAAUUAUAUCUAUAUUUAUAUAAUAUAAAGAGAGACAUAACUUUGUCAAGUGUGAAAUAAAUUUUCUAUUGAUUUAUUGAUUUUUUAUUUGCAAAAUUCUUUGGAUUGAUGUAUGAAAAUGUUCAAAAUUUAUCUUUCUAUCUCGGCCUCAACCCAAUAGGUGUCUGUAAGAUUUUUUUUUUGGAUUAUUUCAAAGUUUAGAACCAAAUAUACUUCUUGAUGGAUUUUGGCAAGUGAACCAAAAUUUGUCAAGUAGUAUAAUUUUAAAGAGAUUGUAUCUACAAGAAUGUUAUAAUUCACGGGACGAUAAUGAUUAUACUUGUUUAAAAAAAUGUAAUAAUUAGUAAUGAAAGGGUACAUAUUAUUGGAAUUCCUUAAUAAUUCAAAUGCUUCAUAGAAGCUUUAAAAAGCACUGCAUGAAAAUAGUUAUUGAUAUGGUUUUGGAAAAAAGCUGUUUUUUUAAUUCUUUUUUUCUGUUAAUUCUUGGCCUGUUUGUGGUAUCCAUUUUGUACCCUAUAAAUAGACAUUGUAGUAUAGUUGAGGUAUAAGCCAUAUAUUCAAUUCUCUCAAUCUUUCUCUAUUUCUCUAUCUCUCUUAUCUCACAUUAUCAUUUUCAUUGCUUCCCAAACACAACUGUCUAUGUCACCACUGCUUUUGGUUUUCGCAACAUUUGGUAUCAGAAGCUUGUUUUGAAUCCAAUUCCGUCUGCAAUCAUGUCCGGUCAAACGAUAAAAUACACUACCAAAUCGUGCCUCCUCGUGACUCGAAAAACUGACGACAAUGGCGAGACAAAUGAAGGGGUUUGUUCGCUAUCAACGUUCUUGGGAUGCAAAGAUGUGUGGGGUGACGGGUGGUUCGUCGAAGAGAGCAUCCGGAUGCUCAAAAGGCUACAUGAUAAAAGAGAAAAGAAGAAGGAUUUACAAACGUGUGUUUUGAUCCAUUCUUGUGUCGAUGCGUGAAAACUUUGAAAAAGUAGGCCAUUGCCGAUUCGCCAGCAAGCGAGGGAUUUGAGAAGGCUUAUGCAGGGGUACCAAGCCAAAUGUGUGAGGUUACUAAACUCACAGCGGACAGUCGAGUUAAUGCAAAAUCGGAGGACAAGGAGUCGAUAAAACGAUUAUGCUGACGCGUAUACGCGUGUAUGUGAAUCAAAUAAGUCGUGCGGGAGAAAACUACGGUUAGAGCGGAAUGUUUUGUGUCGAAGAUCUUGCCUUCUUUAACGCCAAGAUUCACGAACAUUGUCGUUCGCGCUUGAAGAAAUCGAGAGAUUUAUCUGCAUUGAUCGAAGGGAGGAGCUCAAAGCUCACUAGAAGCUCUAUGAAGCAAUGGAUAGAGGAAACGAUAAGCGAAGUCGGAAGUAGCUUGCUGCAAGCAGCGACUCAUGAAAGAGUAAGACGAUCAAAGGAAAAGGGCAUCGAGAGGGGUCCAAUUUCCAAAUUUGUGUGGUAAGAGUCACAAAAUUCCAAAGGCAAACGGUGAGGAAGCUCCAAGAGGGUGAUAAGGAACCCACAAAGCCAUUGACGAAGUACGUGAAGUGUGUACAAUCUGUCAAAGCUUGAAGGAUUUCGCAAAGUUUUGCCGCGACGAAGAGAAAUCGAAUGGGCUGAGGCGGAAAGCUUUGCUAAGGAAGAAGCGAAUAUGAUAUACGCUUUGUGAUGAAUCAGGAGAGAAAUCUCGAUGCCCAUGACGACAAAGCGGGGCCGGACGCGCGUUCCGGCGGCAGUGUGCAGACGAAUUCUGGCAGUAAGACGCGAGUUCAGGACGGAAACGCCAAUGGUAGCGUCUCGAGGAUGCAAUUCAAGAGUAGAACGAGUGGUAGUUGCGAUUCUGAGGUCUGGGAGCUCACUCAUACGGAGAAGAUUGUUUGUCCAAAUUCCAAUCGAGCAGCAAGAUUAAAGUGAGAUUGCGAUGAUACGGAUGUUAUCCCGAUGGCCGGGUUGGAAUGUCUGUGAUGCCGCUGAAAGAAGCUGAUGCGGUUCAAUUGAUCUAAGGAUGGUCUGUGACGAUUCGGAGGAUCGAAUGUAAUCUCUUGGCAGUGGCAACUGUUGGUACCCAGAGGCCAAUUUUGGUAUUGUAGUGAAUUAUUUUAUAUAGAAUGAGGCUUUAUUUUUAUUAACGUCCUUGUUUAGAUAGAUCCCCCGCGAGCUGUCGCGGCGCCGCGCCGCCGGCUAGCGAUUCAUAUAGGCUAGUCGUGCGCGGCCGCUUUAAUGCUAGUCAGUACAUUAAUCAUGAGAUGAGCAUAACCAUUAAGGACGACUAUUCUUAACGGUAGUCACGUAGAUCGAGCUGUCGGACUUAUUGUGCAAGUCCGGGCGGGGGAUGCCAUUAAACCAUUAAGACCUACAUAGCGUGGUAUAUAGCCUGGAUGAUGCACAUCUCAGUGGAUAUGGAUAGCGGAUGGAGUUAUCAAGUCUUAAAUAGGUGAUCUUAAGAUAUAUUCUAUAGCCGUAUGACGGGCGCUACUGGAUCUGAUAUAUAAGUUAUGCAGGUGUUCCGUAUCUAUCUUCCUCAUGGUAUACUGGUCGUUAUCAAUCUUCGACCGUGAACCCAGUCUUGGACCCUCGAUGUUCGGUGCUUAUAUUGUGAUUCCAACUGUUGUCGAAUGCUCAUAACCAUAAAGACAUGGCAUGGGUCUCCGGGUCGGCAAUGUUGACGGGCGCAUGAGUGGACCUAGAUGGAUCUUUGCCAUCCUACUACAAGGAUAAUGUUAUGGCCAAUGAUUGAAUGGAAGGAUAGCCGGCUCUAUGCUUUCUUCAAUCUGUACUAGAAUUCAAUCGGCAAAGCGAUACUAAUAAUGAUAACAGACAGAGACUUGUCAGAGUCUGAUUUUCGGUGUCGUUGGGUCGCGUUCAUGUGACUGUGCUGUACGGAUACGCUCACUUUAAUUAUGCUCGAUACGAUGAUUUCACCUGAUAUUUACGCAUGCGCGAUAACGCUAGCAGGUCACAAAAGGCGGGGGUUAUGGGAGAUGACGGAUAAUAGAGAACACGUAAGGUAGGGUGCCCUUAGUGAAUUGUGGUGAAUCGUCGUCUNGUCGACUUAUUUAACAUUAUAAAUGUAUAUGGAUAUGUAGGUCAACCUAUUUAACAUUUUUUAAAUAUAUAUAUAUAUAUAUAUAUAUAUAUAUAUCAUCCUAUUUAGACUAUUUUUAAUAUAUAUAAAAAUAUAGACGGGUUUAUAAGAUUUCAUAGACUUUUUUAAUAGCCUAAGCCUGACCUACUUAAUUAAAUAAUAUUUUUUAAUAGUCUAAUCCUGACCUAUUUAAUUAAAUAGGUUUUUACAAAAACCUAAGUCUGAAUUUUUUAUUAAAUAGGUUUAGGGUUUAGUCCUUUAUAGACUAAUCUGACCUAUUAUUAUCCCUAAUUACAAUCAACCAAAAUUUAGUGUAACCAAAUAAAUUAGAACCUACUCUAUUAUAAUGUGAAGAAACACAAUCAAGCGUAAGAGGAAAACGAUAUUUUAACGUUUGAUAGUUUAAAAAAAAAGUUUUGUUCCAAAUUACAUGUUACAUUUGAGUAUUUUACACGUAUUAAGAAAGUGUGAUAAAUAAAAGAGAGAAUAUCAAUUUUAUCAUUGGUGCAUUCUAAUGAUCAUAAAUGCCAAGUGAGAAUAACCGGAGAGUGAUAUAGAUAGUAUUAAUUGAAGGGUAACAUUGGAAGCAAAAAUUAAAUUUGUAUUGGAAACUAAAAGCAAACAUUUAUUUUGAAACAAAUAAUUUAUUAAAAUGCGAUAUUUAUUUUGGGACGGAGAGAGUAUCAUUUCUUAUGUAAAGAGAACUCGAUACCCUGGACUCUUUCUGAUUUUAAUUAUAUUGGAUUGUUGAUGGAGAGUAUGGGUUUUUGAGAUGAUAUAUCCUGGUUUUGGGGUGUUAGAUAGAGGAGAGAGCUUUUUGUUUUUGAGCGUGACCUAGUCGGUAACCCUGUCGCAACGAGCUAGAGUACAAACAUCUUCCAUGACGAUGACACGUAGUCAUGUAAUCCGGAUGAAAAUGAGGUGUAUUUGGUUAAAUAAACUUUUUAGCUUUGUUAAAUACUAGACUUCUCGUUGAUGAGUCUAAUAAUGAAGUUGAUUCUAUUAUGCCUCUUGUUGGAAGAAGUUGAUCCAUUCUAAAGUUAUUGUCUUCUCCUAAAAGCUUCUCCAAGAUCGAAUUCUGGCGAGGGAUAAUCUAUGUGGCUGUUGAAUUAUAAUAGGCUCUGGUGAAUUAAUGUGCACUUUUUGUCAAGGCUCUACAUAAUUUGUUAAUCAUAUUUUCAUUACUCAUCAGGUGACAUCUAACUUGUAAUAUAAUAUUUUUAGGUGUUUUGGGUGGACUUUUGUGUACCUAGAGAAAUAGUUUGUUAUUCGAGACUGUCAUAUCUUUAGAGAAGAAGUCUAGUGGUAGAGUUUGACCUACCUUAAUUUGACACUAUCAUGUGAACCUUAUGAAAAUUCCAAAAUGAACAUUUUUUUUCAAAUAAGACAUCAACAAUGGAGGAAUUGGAGAAUCAAAUUCUCUUCGCCUCUUAGAAUUGGUUUCUUACUAGAACUUCGAUUUAUUCUCGCAUGUUCUUUAAUUGGAUGGUGGAUCAUAUCUUCAGAAUCGAUAGAUGUUGAAGGAACCACUUUUCCAGCCUCAAGAGUAGUUUAUUGUUCAAAUGGUGAUUAUGGCCUUUGGUAUAUUUCCAAAACUUUUAUAACUAAAGGUCUUUGUAGUCUUUAUUAUAUAUGUAUACUUAGGAAUCGUUAACAUCAUCAUCAGUGUCAGAUUUAACUUACUUAAAUCUCUCAAUAACUCUUCGUAAAUGAUUAAUUAAAUUAAUCAAUCUUAUUAUUGAAUUAAUAGAUACUAUCAGAUAGAUUAAGUCUAUAAAAUUUUAUAAAAUUUAAAAAAAUCAUUUGAUAUUCAAUCACGUCAAUUAUAUUAUUUUAACAUAUAAUAAAUAUCAACUAUUAAAAUAUAUAAUAAUGGAUGUUUAAAUUGUUUGAUACUUUUAUACAUGAUCAUCAUAUAUAAUUUAAUGUUAAGAUUGAUUUAAUUCUUAAUUUAGAAAGAAUUAUAGAAAGUGUAUAUGUUAAGUUUGACCCAUGGUGUCAAUAGUGUAUUGAUUUUAUAUAUAUAUUGUUGGCUUGUCAAAUUCAAGUUUCUCCAUUUAUAUAAUUUACCCUUUAAUUUAUUUUACACGCUUUAUUUUAGAUUCUCUCUUAUUUUAUCUAAAUAGUGGACCCCACCAUGCAGAGUUAGGCACAUGAUAAUGAUAUAGUUGGGAACUAUUGACUCACAAGCCCAAACCCCAUCUAUAUCUCUAUAUAAUAUCUACAUUCUUAUUCUCACAAAUCACAACCAAACCUCAAAACAAAACCUCUUUUUUCUCUCUACCAAACAUGGCAACAAUGUUUACUCUUCUUUUCCUUCUCCUAACUCUACUCUCAUUUGCAACAUCAACACCAUCAAGUUUCAUCAAAACCUCAUGUAGCACCACACAAUACCCUACACUUUGUGUUCAAUCUCUAUCUGUCUAUGCAUCCACAAUCCAACAAGAUCCACACCAGUUAGUCCAAACAGCUUUAUCCCUUAGUCUCAACAAAACUCAAUCCACAAAAGGCUUUGUUACAAUGUGCAAAAGCUUCAAAAAUCUUAAACCAUCAGAAUAUGCUGCUCUUCAUGAUUGUGCUGAAGAAAUCAGUGAUAGUGUUGAUAGGCUUAGCCGUUCAUUGAAAGAGCUUAAACUCUGCAAGAUCAACGGUCAAAAAGCUUCAAAAAUCUUAAACCAUCAGAAUAUGCUGCUCUUCAUGAUUGUGCUGAAGAAAUCAGUGAUAGUGUUGAUAGGCUUAGCCGUUCAUUGAAAGAGCUUAAACUCUGCAAGAUCAACGGUCAGGAUUUCAAUUGGCAUAUAAGCAAUGUGGAGACAUGGGUUAGCUCAGCUUUGACAGAUGAGAGCACUUGUG
rnacentral:lncRNA from 1 species